rnacentral:hammerhead_ribozyme from 1 species
AUCCAGCUGACGAGUCCCAAAUAGGACGAAACGUGCGUACUUGGAU